GCCGUACGAGCUACACAUGCAGUCGAGCGGAACGAUGGAGCUUGCUCCAGGCGUCGAGCGGCGGACGGGUGAGUAAUGCAUAGGAAUCUGCCCGGUAGUGGGGGAUAACCUGGGGAAACCCAGGCUAAUACCGCAUACGUCCUACGGGAGAAAGCAGGGGAUCUUCGGACCUUGCGCUAUCGGAUGAGCCUAUGUCGGAUUAGCUUGUUGGUGAGGUAAUGGCUCACCAAGGCGACGAUCCGUAGCUGGUCUGAGAGGAUGAUCAGCCACAUCGGGACUGAGACACGGCCCGAACUCCUACGGGAGGCAGCAGUGGGGAAUAUUGGACAAUGGGCGAAAGCCUGAUCCAGCCAUGCCGCGUGUGUGAAGAAGGCUUUCGGGUUGUAAAGCACUUUCAGUGAGGAAGAAGGCCUUGGGGCUAAUACCCCCGAGGAAGGACAUCACUCACAGAAGAAGCACCGGCUAACUCCGUGCCAGCAGCCGCGGUAAUACGGAGGGUGCGAGCGUUAAUCGGAAUUACUGGGCGUAAAGCGCGCGUAGGCGGCGUGAUAAGCCGGUUGUGAAAGCCCCGGGCUCAACCUGGGAACGGCAUCCGGAACU
rnacentral:rRNA from 1 species